GUCUCGGCCGGCCCCGGAGCAGGGGGGACGCGGCGGGCGGCUCGUGCGUGCCAAGCGCGACAUGGCGCGGAGGCUGAGCAGCCCCGGAGGCCCAGUGAGCACGGGGAGGGGCUAGAUGCGGGCUGGACAACCAUUAGCGAGCAGGGGCCGGGCGGCUCGGGGACUCUAUUUCCCAGGGGGCGUAGCGGCCGCGGCCGGAAGCGGCGCCCCCUGAGGCCCAGUGCGCAGGCGCACGCGUGGCCUUGGUGUAUAUAUAAGGAAGGUCCGCCAUCUACCUCGUCCUUUCGUUCAUGAGACGCGCUUUGUCCGCCAUGUCAUGUCCACGCGUUAUGUCUCGUCCACGCGGGAGUUAUUUGCAGAUGGUGGGCAUGGUCAAGCAGUACGGGAAAGGAGACGUCACCUUUGAGCCCCCAGGAAGAUGAGAAUAACGCCCACGGUCUUAAGGUUUGCUGACAGCUGAAUUGAAUGGAGGGUAAAUUCCAGAGUAAGAAAGGAUUGGCCUAAGGGAGCCAUGGAUGCCAGUGUGUCUGAUCUCCCUUGAUUUCAGUGUCCUGAAACAGGCACUUCUCUGGACACAGACCUGUCUCCUGCUGGCCCCAUCCCACAAGGCAUUUGUACAUUUGGCCCAAGGACCUUGACUGGGGUGUGGUAUAGUGUGCACUGCUACUGGAAAUACUGAGUAGCAGAAACCUUUGGCCUCUUAAUCUGUAGAAAUAAAAGUCUGACUAGG